UCUGCGAUAAGCGCCGGUAAGGUGAUAUGAACCGUUAUAACCGGCGAUACCCGAAUGGGGAAACCCAGUGUGAUUCGUCACACUAUCAUUAACUGAAUCCAUAGGUUAAUGAGGCGAACCGGGGGAACUGAAACAUCUAAGUACCCCGAGGAAAAGAAAUCAACCGAGAUUCCCCCAGUAGCGGCGAGCGAACGGGGAGGAGCCCAGAGCCUGAAUCAGCAUGUGUGUUAGUGGAAGCGUCUGGAAAGGCGCGCGAUACAGGGUGACAGCCCCGUACACAAAAGCGCUUGUGCUGUGAGCUCGAUGAGUAGGGCGGGACACGUGGUAUCCUGUCUGAAUAUGGGGGGACCAUCCUCCAAGGCUAAAUACUCCUGACUGACCGAUAGUGAACCAGUACCGAGAGGGAUAGGCG
rnacentral:rRNA from 1 species